rnacentral:rRNA from 1 species
AAUACGGAGGGUGCAAACGUUGCUCGGAAUCAUUGGGCGUAAAGCGCACGUAGGCGGUCUGUUAAGUCGGGUGUGAAAGCCCUCGGCUCAACCGAGGAAGUGCAUUCGAAACUGGCAGGCUGGAGUACUGGAGAGGAUGACGGAAUUCCCGGUGUAGAGGUGAAAUUCGUAGAUAUCGGGAGGAACACCAGCGGCGAAGGCGGUCAUCUGGACAGAUACUGACGCUGAGGUGCGAAAGCGUGGGGAGCAAACA